rnacentral:rRNA from 1 species
AUUGAACGCUGGCGGCAGGCCUAACACAUGCAAGUCGAACGAGUGGCGGACGGGUGAGUAAUGUCUGGGAAACUGCCUGAUGGAGGGGGAUAACUCCUGGAAACGGUAGCUAAUACCGCAUACCAUCAGAUGUGCCCAGCUGGGCUUAGCUAGUAGGUGGGGUAAUGGCUCACCUAGGCGACGAUCCCUAGCUGGUCUGAGAGGAUGACCAGCCACACUGGAACUGAGACACGGUCCAGACGCCUACGGGAGGCAGCAGUGGGGAAUAUUGCGCAAGGGGCGCAAGCCUGAUGCAGCCAUUCCGCGGGUGUGAAGAAGGCCUUCAGGUUGUAAAGCACUUUAAGCGGGGAGGCGUUACCCGCAGAAGAAGCACCGGCUAACUCCGUGCCAGCAGCCGCGGUAAUUC